rnacentral:rRNA from 1 species
GGGAAUUUUGCACAAUGGGCGCAAGCCUGAUCCAGCCAUUCCGCGUGCGUGAAGAAGGCCUUCGGGUUGUAAAGCGCUUUUGUNNGGGAGGAAGGNGCNUNGGUUAAUACCCUGGGNCCUUGACGUUACCGNCAGAAUAAGCACCGGCUAACUNCGUGCCAGCAGCCGCGGUAAUACGUAGGGUGCAAGCGUUAAUCGGAAUUACUGGGCGUAAAGCGCGCGCAGGCGGUUAUUUAAGUCAGAUGUGAAAUCCCCGGGCUCAACCUGGGAACUGCAUUUGAAACUGGCNAGCUAGAGUGCGGUAGAGGGGGAUGGAAUUCCGGGUGUAGCAGUGAAAUGCGUAGAUAUGCGGAGGAACACCGAUGGCGAAGGCAAUCCCCCUGGACCUGACACUGACGCUCAUGUGCGAAAGCGUGGG